rnacentral:rRNA from 1 species
GAUGAACGCUAGCGAUAGGCUUAACACAUGCAAGUCGAGGGGCAGCACGGUGUAGCAAUACACUGGUGGCGACCGGCGUACGGGUGCGUAACACGUAUGCAACCUACCCGCUAUUGGGGGAUAACCCGGCGAAAGUCGGACUAAUAUCCCAUAUUAUUCUUACCGGGCAUCCGGUGAGUCUGAAAGAUUUAUCGAUUGCGGAUGGGCAUGCGGAUGAUUAGCUAGUAGGUGGGGUAACGGCUCACCUAGGCGACGAUCAUUAGGGGUUCUGAGAGGAAGGUCCCCCACACUGGAACUGAGACACGGUCCAGACUCCUACGGGAGGCAGCAGUGAGGAAUAUUGGUCAAUGGGCGCUAGCCUGAACCAGCCAAGUCGCGUGAAGGAUGACAGAUCUAUGGUUUGUAAACUUCUUUUGCAGGGGAGUAAAGUGCGACACGUGUGUUGUAUUGCAAGUACCCUGCGAAUAAGCAUCGGCUAACUCCGUGCCAGCAGCCGCGGUAAUACGGAGGAUGCAAGCGUUAUCCGGAU